rnacentral:misc_RNA from 1 species
GAUGAAGAACGCAGCGAAAUGCGAUAAGUAAUGUGAAUUGCAGAAUUCAGUGAAUCAUCGAAUCUUUGAACGCACAUUGCGCCCGCCAGCACUCUGGCGGGCAUGCCUGUCCGAGCGUCAUUUCAACCCUCAAGCACAGCUUGGUGUUGGGACUCGCGUUAAUUCGCGUUCCCCAAAUUGAUUGGCGGUCACGUCGAGCUUCCAUAGCGUAGUAGUAAAACCCUCGUUACUGGUAAUCGUCGCGGCCACGCCGUUAAACCCCAACUUCUGAAUGUUGACCUCGGAUCAGGUAGGAAUACCCGCUGAACUUAAGCAUAUCAAUAAGCGGAGGA